rnacentral:rRNA from 1 species
GAUGAACGCUGGCGGCGUGCCUAAUACAUGCAAGUCGAGUGAACGGACGAGAAGCUUGCUUCUCUGAUGUUAGCGGCGGACGGGUGAGUAACACGUGGAUAACCUACCUAUAAGACUGGGAUAACUUCGGGAAACCGGAGCUAAUACCGGAUAAUAUUUUGAACCGCAUGGUUCAAAAGUGAAAGACGGUCUUGCUGUCACUUAUAGAUGGAUCCGCGCUGCAUUAGCUAGUUGGUAAGGUAACGGCUUACCAAGGCAACGAUGCAUAGCCGACCUGAGAGGGUGAUCGGCCACACUGGAACUGAGACACGGUCCAGACUCCUACGGGAGGCAGCAGUAGGGAAUCUUCCGCAAUGGGCGAAAGCCUGACGGAGCAACGCCGCGUGAGUGGUGAAGGUCUUCGGAUCGUAAAACUCUGUUAUUAGGGAAGAACAUAUGUGUAAGUAACUGUGCACAUCUUGACGGUACCUAAUCAGAAAGCCACGGCUAACUACGUG